CCUUGUUGCAGUAACAAGAGUGAGUGAUCUUCCAUCACAAUAAGGGCCCUAAACCCAUUACUCCUGUCUGUCCUGAUAUAGUUGUUCAUGAAAACUUUAUGGACACGCCCCCUAUGUUGGUCCAUUUCAAUGGUCUCUCUAAGCAAUACAUUAUCCAAUUCAUUGACAAGUUUCACCAUGAGGUGAAUCUUGCUCCCUUCAUGAUGAACUGAAGCAAAGGCCUCCUGAUCGUCUGCAACUGCAAGUGAAUCACUCAUGGCUGUUUCGUCAGAUAAUGAGUCUACCACCUCCAACUUUCCUUCGCCACCAACCUUCACAAAUACAGUGCGUUUAUUGACUUUUACAGCAAGCAUAUUGCUAAGAAGAGGUGAUAAAAUCUCAGCGUUUCCUGAAUCCUCAACAAGAUCUGAGAUAGGGGUCUUCUGGAAGCUAAUAUCUCCAUCUAAGAAGCCAA